AUGUCUCGAAGUGAUGAUUUCCUUAUUACCGCCCCAGUCUGAAGAUUCAUGACUGAUUGGUAUUCUCUGAUCAUAA